rnacentral:rRNA from 1 species
CACUAUGCCUAGCCAUAAACAUCGAUAAUAAACUACCUUUUUAUCCGCCCGGGUACUACGAGCAUCAGCUUAAAACCCAAAGGACUUGGCGGUGCUUUAGAUCCCCCUAGAGGAGCCUGUUCUAGAACCGAUAAUCCCCGUUAAACCUCACCUUUCCUUGUCUUUUCUGCCUAUAUACCGCCGUCGUCAGCUUACUCUCUGAAGAGCUUGUAGUAAGCACAAGUGGCACAGCCUAAAACGCCAGGUCGAGGUGUAGCGAAUGGAAAGGGAAGAAAUGGGCUACAUUCAAUAAGAAUAAUGAAUACGAAUGAUGCUCUGAAAAGAGCUUCUGAAGGAGGAUUUAGUAGUAAGUAGAGAAUAGAGAGCUUUACUGAAACCGGCCCUGAAGCGCGUACACACCGCCCGUCACUCUCCCCGAGCUAAUUUAAACCAUACUUAAUAAGUAAACUCUGUAAAGGGGAGGCAAGUCGUAA